UACGGAGGGUGCAAGCGUUAAUCGGAAUUACUGGGCGUAAAGCGCACGCAGGCGGUCUGUCAAGUCGGAUGUGAAAUCCCCGGGCUCAACCUGGGAACUGCAUCCGAAACUGGAUAUCUAGAGUGCGGGAGAGGAGAAUGGAAUUCCUAGUGUAGCGGUGAAAUGCGUAGAUAUUAGGAGGAACACCAGUGGCGAAAGCGGAUUACUGGACGACAACUGACGGUGAGGCGCGAAAGCGUGGGGAGCAAAC
rnacentral:rRNA from 1 species